AAAAAAAAAAAACAAUAACAGACUACUUCACACGAUUGAUGGUCACGUGCUUUCACGUAGUACUUCGCAAAUUUUUGUGACACACGAAAGCAUUCUUCCGAAUAAAUGAAAAAGUUUUUUCAGCCAGUUGUGCGAAUAAAUGGUUGGUUAUUGUGCACGGAGAUUGCAGAAAAGUAGGUGCGGAUCCUUCGUUCUUACAGCCUAACGCACUCACCGCGAUGUUACAAUCCUGAGUGACCAUUGGAUCACUUCGAUCAGGACGAAGGCGCAAUUUUCGACCGAGUUUUGACGCUUCUCUUUUUAAAUCUGCGACGUUAUUUUCGUGUCAAAAUAUUUCAGUGAUCGUGACGAAAUUAAGGUGCUCCCACCCCGAAAGUUUCUCAUUCAGAACGAAAAGACUUGAGCCCGGCAUAAAAUGAUGGGCGGAAAAAAAUCAACGGAACUAACGCGGAGUUGAGAAGGUUCGUAUUUCGUUUAGUUGAGUCGCAGCGAUCGAGGCUUGACGAAAAAUCGUGACGUGGGGAUUGAGGGAUUGCAAAAAAAUCCAUAAAAUAUGUGAGCAUCGAGUAAAUUCGAUCUUGAACUAUGAAUAGUUCGAAGUCAUGAGGUUUGGUGUUUCACUCGUCGCGCGUUGCGCUGGAAGAAAGAAAAUGGGAAUAAAAACGUCGUGGGCCGUAAGGAGAUACUAAAUUCUUCUGAAAAUUAUUACGAUCGUGUCGCAAGCGCUGGCCCGGUUUCUUCGCGCUGCGUGGACGUAUGCACUUUAAAUGAAAUAAAAAGAGCGCUCACCAUCGCCGAGGAAAGAAGAUGGAGCAAUGAAGCAGAGGAGGCGGAGUACAUGCACCAACUCCCAUCUGUUUACUAAUUAUCUAAUGAGUUGGAGCUCCGACGACCACGUGCUGCGCGCGGAACUUAUCGAAUUAUCGCUUCUACGCCGCCUUUGCGUUUUUUCCACUCGCCUCACGUGUUUCUCAACAUUUUCCCAGUUAACUGACAAUCGAAAAAACGAGAAUCGGCGAGUUGAGGCGAUACUUUUAAAAACUCUACGAUCGAUCAAAUAUUGCGGAAACAAUUUUUGGAGAUUUUCUUGGAAUCAACUGGAAAUUUAACUCGAUUGUUAGCUUCAUCCAACUCUUGCGUUCUUUCGCUCCUGUGUUUGAAGAUUUCGUGGAGUCGAAUUGCUCGAGAAAGCUGAAAGGGUACAGGGAAAGCAAAUGUAAAAAAUGUGAGAGGGAAGAAGAAACUUUGGCGCACAUUUGCGAGGGCAGCGAAAUAAAAGCGGACAUGAGGAAGGCAGAGGUAGAAGGAUUGGAAAGAUCGCUGGAGAAAACAGUAGGAAAAGGAGUGGAGCGCUUAAAAUGAUGGAUCAGUCGGUAAUCGCACCUCGAAUUUUUGAAAUUGAAACUCUUUGACAUCGUUCGUCCGAUUAAAAUAAUAAAAAUGUUAUCGUACGCAGCACGAUCGC